UUCCUUCUCUUCGUCUUCGAUUCCACGGUCCCACGGUCCACCCCGAGUAUCCACGCCGCCGCCGCUGCUCCUCCUCCGCCACUAUCCGCCCCCGUCGCGCCGGUCACCACUCGCCAGCGGCCAACCGCUGCUCCUCCGCCUCUGCAAGAACACUUGACCGAGCCGGCGAGCCCCUUUUCCGUCACUCAACAAGGUAAGAAGCCCUAAUUUGCUUAUCAUCUCUUGAUUCUCUUAUGAUUUCUUCCUCAGUUUUUGAUUAUCUCUCUGUUUCUUCCUCAAUCUCUUCUCCUCGUCUUCGAUUCCUCACCAAGCAUUCACGCCGCCGCCGCUGCUCCUCCUCCGCCACUGUCCGCCCCCGUCGC
rnacentral:lncRNA from 1 species